rnacentral:rRNA from 1 species
UGGGUAACCUGCCUUAUAGUGGGGGAGUAGCCUUUCGAAAGGAAGAUUAAUACCGCAUAAGAUUGUAGUAUCGCAUGAUAUAGCAAUUAAAGGAAGCAAUCCGCUAUAAGAUGGACCCGCGUCGCAUUAGCUAGUUGGUGAGGUAAUGGCUCACCAAGGCGACGAUGCGUAGCCGACCUGAGAGGGUGAUCGGCCACAUUGGGACUGAGACACGGCCCAGACUCCUACGGGAGGCAGCAUG